rnacentral:rRNA from 1 species
GAUGAACGCUGGCGGCGUGCCUAAUACAUGCAAGUCGAGCGAACUGAUUAGAAGCUUGCUUCUAUGACGUUAGCGGCGGACGGGUGAGUAACACGUGGGCAAACUGCCUGUAAGACUGGGAUAACUUCGGGAAACCGAAGCUAAUACCGGAUAGGAUCUUCUCCUUCAUGGGAGAUGAUUGAAAGAUGGUUUCGGCUAUCACUUACAGAUGGGACCGGGGUGCAUUAGCUAGUUGGGGCGGUAACGGCUCACCAAGGCAACGAUGCAUAGCCGACCUGAGAGGGUGAUCGGCCACACUGGACUGAGACACGGCCCAGACUCCUACGGGAGGCAGCAGUAGGGAAUCUUCCGCAAUGGACGAAAGUCUGACGGAGCAACGCCGCGUGAGUGAUGAAGGCUUUCGGGUCGUAAAACUCUGUUGUUAGGGAAGAACAAGUACGAGAGUAACUGCUCGUACCUUGACGGUACCUAACCAGAAAGCCACGGCUAACUACGUGCCAGCCGCCGCAGUAACAC